rnacentral:rRNA from 1 species
UACGGAGGGGGCUAGCGUUGUUCGGAAUUAUUGGGCGUAAAGCGCGUGUAGGCGGCUUUGCAAGUCGGGUGUGAAAGCCCUCAGCUCAACUGAGGAAGUGCGCCCGAAACUGCAGAGCUUGAGUGCCGGAGAGGGUGGCGGAAUUCCCCAAGUAGAGGUGAAAUUCGUAGAUAUGGGGAGGAACACCGGGUGGCGAAGGCGGCCACCUGGACGGGUUACUGACGCUGAGACGCGAAAGCGUGGGGAGCAAACAGG